rnacentral:rRNA from 1 species
CUUCGGAGUGAGAGCGUACACAGGUGCUGCAUGGCUGUCGUCAGCUCGUGUCGUGAGAUGUUGGGUUAAGUCCCGCAACGAGCGCAACCCUGCAUUCAGUUGCCAUCGGUAAGGCCGGGCACUCUGGAUGGACUGCCGGCGACAAGCCGGAGGAAGUGGGGACGACGUCAAGUCAUCAUGGCCCUUAUGUCCAGGGCGACACACGUGCUACAAUGGCCGGCACAACGGGAAGCGAAGGGGCGACCCUGAGCGGAUCCCACAAAAGCCGGUCUCAGUUCGGAUUGCAGUCUGCAACUCGACUGCAUGAAGUUGGAAUCGCUAGUAAUCGUGGAUCAGCCAAGCCGCGGUGAAUACGUUCCCGGGCCUU